GGGAUGAGGGGGGAGCAAGGAGCUGGUGCUGGGUCCCUGACGGCCCUGCAUGAAGGGAGCGGACACGAGGGGAACGGUCGGGUAGUUGCGUGCAUCUCCAGCAAAAACAGAGAUAAAUACAGGAUCCCAUCUCUUUGCUCUGCUAAGCUCCCCCCAAGCCCACCAGCAGCAGGAGAAGCAGAAUCAGUGCACCAUGCAAGCCCCCAAAAGGAUCAGAGCUUGUGACUGCAGAUUCUCAGCACACAGGGAAGGAAGCGAGGGCUCUCCUGCUGAAUGGUCACAACCAGAACAAGAUAUCCAAGUGGACUAGGGAGGGCUGACUAACCACGCUCACACGUACAGCCAGGAUUUGCCUCCUGUUCUGUGUCAUGGAAGAAGACUGCCUUUUUCACCUCAGGUACCCAUUUCUUUUAUUCUCUGUUAGAUAAAAAGGUGCACUAAAUACUGCGAUACCACACCUCUGAUCAAUACACUUCGUGCAUCUGCUCCUUUAUUUUAUACCAGAGCAAUCUUUUCUAUUGGUCACACACCUGGUCUUAAUGCAGUUACAACUUGGCUAUGCUACAGUACUAAAAAUCCAAAAUUAUCCUGCAGAUUUUCAGACUGCUCAUCUUUCAUAAGGGUGGCAAAGAGGCUCGUGACACAGAAUACAUAUUCAAACAGAAGGGAUUUUUUUCUGUUUCUAUGUGGUAGCAUUAUGUUCAUGCUCUCUGCUUCCAAGCCAAUCCUUUGGAGAGAAAGCAGAACUGAUUACAGACCCAGUGAGUCAAAAAUCAGGGUCUGAUCAGUCAAACAUCAGGGAGUUGUAGUCAUUUAGACAGCAGAAGUACCUGGUAUUAUGCCGAGCACUCCUUAGCACCAUCUCUCUGAGACUUGCUGUCAUCCUUCUCCCAGGGUAUCUACAGGAGCUGAAUCCUAACCCCAUCAAGGAUAUUGAUCCAGCUAGCGCCAGGAACAAACUCUUCUCCACAAAGUGCACCAUCAGGGAUAAAUUCCUCUCUAUAUUAGGAAAAGCCUGAGUUGCAUAUAUGGAGGCAACGCCUUUCUUAUAGCCAGGUUGUCUGGAUGAAAAGCUGCACACGGGAUAAGCUACUUCAGUAUGCUUCCUCCUACGACAAUUGUAGUUUUGCUGUCAGUUUUGUAAAUCCUCCAUAACCACCAGGUUGUUACCAGGGGUGGUGAUAGCGGGGAGGACACUGCAUAUUGGCAGAAAAGAAUGAGCUCUCAAGACAAUAAAUGAAGU